rnacentral:rRNA from 2 species
UAGCAUAUCACUGAGCGCAGGAGAAGAAACUAACCAGGAUUUCCCUAGUAACGGCGAGCGAACCGGAAAGAGCCCAGCUUGAAAAUCGUGGCGCCCCGGCGCCUCGAAUUGUAGUCUGGAGAAGGUCCCUCUGCGGCGCGCCGGACCCAAGUUCCCUGGAAAGGGACGCCAUCGAGGGUGAGAGCCCCGCUGAUUCCGGAGUGCGCCGCUCCACGAGGACCUGUCUGCGAGUCGGGCUGUUUGGGAAUGCAGCCCUAAGCGGGUGGUAAAUUCCAUCCAAGGCUAAAUAUUGGCAAGAGACCGAUAGCGAACAAGUACCGCGAGGGAAAGAUGAAAAGGACUUUGAAAAGAGAGUUAAAAAGUGCUUGAAAUUGCUGGGAGGGAAGCGAAUGGAAGCUGCGGGUGCGCCCCGGUUGGAUGUGGAACGGCUGUCAAAGGCUGGUCCGCCGCUCAACGCGGGGCGCUGGUCAGCGUGGGCCAUCGCGGCGGGACAAGAGCGGGGAUUCGCUUCCCGCCGAUGCCGCUGCGGUGGCCGAGGAACGAAGCGCGCGCUCUUCAUGGGCGUGGGACUUGUCCCAACUGCGCGCUCGGGACGCUGGCGUAUUGAGCUCUUCAUCCGACCCGUCUUGAAACACGGACCAAGGAGUCUAACAUGUAUGCGAGCCGGUGGGCGGCAAACCCAUUGAGGCGCAAGUAACCUGACAGGUGGGACCCCGACCGCAAGGGAGGGAGCACCAUCGACCGACCGUGAUCUUCUGUGAAGGGUUC